AUUCUACUGCUUGCUGU
rnacentral:piRNA from 1 species